CGGGGGAGGCCGGAUCCUGGGCUGUGUCCCGGCGCCCUGUGCUCCGGGGCCUGCGCUGUUGGAUUCGCGCUCCUGGAGCCGCGCAGCCCCCA
rfam:Canis lupus familiaris chromosome 1, whole genome shotgun sequence.